UGUUAACCAGGUUCAUAUUCUUCCCAUCUUCUCCUACCUUCUUAAGGCUUAGCGGCCGCUAUUUAAAAUACUUGUUUUCAUUGUCACUAGACUCAUUUGAAACCUCGAUGACAACUUUAUAGGUAUUCAGUCACAAUGCCAUUCAUGGUAGAAGAUUCUCAAAAUCCAGUUUCGUCCUUAGAAAAAGAUUCUCCGAAGUCAAUAAACACAUCCAUGUCAUGUCAGGUUCUCCAUUCUAAACUACUUGUCGUCUUGUUCCUAUGAUGGCACCAUGGGGAGAGCACAAAAAAGAGGAGAGCACAAUGGGGCCAAAUUGGCUUGAACUUCCUAGAGACAUCACAACAAACAUUUUCAAAGACUUGGUACCAUUGAGAUUGUGACAAGUGCAUGUCAAGUGUGUCCUCUAUGGUGGAACAUUUGCAAGGAUCCUCUUAUAUGGCACACUAUUUACAUGAGAGUCAACAACCGUCAUCCCUACAAUAAUAUGGAUUUGGUAAAGAUUUGUCGUUAUGCUGUUGAACGAAGUUGCGGUCACUUGGAAGACAUUGAGAUCGUGUCUUUUUGCAAUGGUGAUCUCCUUCAAACCAUAGUGAGUUGGUUCAUACGAACUUCAAAACAAAAUGUAACAAAUCAGGCUUAUGUGGAAGGUUCGAUUUGGAAAGACUAUAUACUAGAGGUGGUGUCUACAUUAGCUUCCUAUUAUCAUCCCCCGAUAUUCCAUCGAGGAGAACAAGAGUUCCGCAUAACGAUGAUGGAGGAGAAGAUUUUCUAGUGAAUCCUACAUUGUCAAUCUUUAACUAUCUGGGUCGUUCGUUUGGAAAACAUACCAAUUCUACUUUGAGUGUUAGGGAAAUGAAAGCUAGACACAUUUAUGGAAAUGUUAUCUCAAGGUCAGCUACAUCCACAUCCACCUCCACCUCCACCUCCACAUCCACCUCCAUUUACUUGAUAUAUAGCAUAUGGUUAUUUUGAUAGUUUGGCUGCAAACUUAGUUUCAAGAACAAUGUGCUACUUCUAGUACCAUUAAAAAUGUUGAAAAGUGUUUCUUAUGAAGCUUAUUUCGAGUGUUUCCUUAUGACUCUUAUGUAUUUUAAGAGUGUUGAACAAUAGUUGUAAACUUAUUGAGAGUUUCCUUAUGACUUUUGAUGCUUAUGAAGGCAAAUUAUAAAGUGUUUUUUAUUGUGUA